rnacentral:SRP_RNA from 12 species
CUCAGUCAGGCCGGGAACCAAGCAACGCCAACGAAC